rnacentral:lncRNA from 1 species
AGAAAAAUGAAAGUGGAUUUUUGGGGGAUGUAAGGGGUCAAAAAAUGAAUAUUGAAUUUAACUGUACAUGUCUAUAUUUUGUUUUUCAGAAAAAUUUUCAUGGAAAGAUAUAACUUUAAUUGUGUUUGGAAUCGGAAUAAUUGUCCUAAUAAUAAUAAAUGCAUUUCUCUAUUAUCGCAUAAAAAGAUACAAAGAACGGGGUAAGGACACUGAAGGACACUCAGAUGCGGUAGCAGUAGAAAAUGGUAAGUUCCAUUAGCCAUUUUACACUGUGCACAUAGUCUUUGGAUCUUCUGUCCAUGUUGCCUUGUUCCUUGUUGUUUUACUGUCCUUGAAACAACAUGUUCCUUAUAUGCUGUAUGACUUAAAUUUACAUUAUUGUGCCUUAUUUUUUCUCACUCC